CCCCUUCAUCAUAUCACCUUCAAUACAAGAAAUCUCAUUUGAUUUCAGAAGCUAAGCAGGAUCCAGCCUGGUUAGGAGCUGGAUGGGAGACCACCAUGGAAUUCGAGGAUGCUCUGGU
rnacentral:rRNA from 1 species